rnacentral:rRNA from 1 species
AGAGUUUGAUCCUGGCUCAGGAUGAACGCUAGCUACAGGCUUAACACAUGCAAGUCGAGGGGAAACGACAUCGAAAGCUUGCUUUUGAUGGGCGUCGACCGGCGUACGGGUGAGUAACGCGUAUCCAACCUGCCCACCACUUGGGGAUAACCUUGCGAAAGUAAGACUAAUACCCAAUGAUAUCUCUAGAAGACAUCUGAAAGAGAUUAAAGAUUUAUCGGUGAUGGAUGGGGAUGCGUCUGAUUAGCUUGUUGGCGGGGUAACGGCCCACCAAGGCAACGAUCAGUAGGGGUUCUGAGAGGAAGGUCCCCCACCAUUGGAACUGAGACACGGUCCAAACUCCUACGGGAGGGCAGCA